GGGCGCGUAGCUCAGGGGGAGAGCGCGUGACUCACAUUCACGAGGUCGGAGGUUCAAAACCUCCCGCGCCCACCA
rnacentral:tRNA from 1 species